rnacentral:misc_RNA from 1 species
AAGUCGUAACAAGGUCUCCGUUGGUGAACCAGCGGAGGGAUCAGUCCAAAACGUAAAACGUUUCAGUUUUAUAUUAACCAACCGUGCUCUUUGUUUUUCAUUUGCCUUUCUUGAAGGUUUGGGCGUUUAUUCCCAAAUGCAAAUCUUCUAUUUUAUUAACCAUAUAAACCUUUUUUUAAUGUUAAAACUGAUCUUUUGUGGGGUAAUCUUUUAAAACGGAUUAUCUCGUAUAAUUAAAACAAUAUUUAUACAACUUAUGCCGGCGGAUACCUUGGUUCUC